rnacentral:rRNA from 1 species
UACGGAGGGUGCGAGCGUUGUCCGGAAUCAUUGGGCGUAAAGGGCGCGUAGGUGGCCUGGUCAGUCCGUGGUGAAAGCGCGGGGCUCAACCCUGCGUCGGCCAUGGAUACUGCUAUGGCUUGAGCACUGUAGAGGCAGGCGGAAUUCCGGGUGUAGCGGUGAAAUGCGUAGAGAUCGGGAAGAACAUCGGUGGCGAAAGCGCUCUGCUGGACUGCAACUGACACUCAGGGACGAAAGCUAGGGGAGCGAAUGGG